CCUACGUGUGGCAGCAGUGAGGAAUAUUUGUCAAUGGGCGCGAGCCUGAACCAGCCAAGUAGCGUGAAUGAUGACUGCCCUACGGGUUGUAAACUUCUUUUAUAAAGGAAUAAAGUGAGGCACGUGUGCCUUUUUGUAUGUAUCUUAUGAAUAAGGAUCGGCUAACUCCGUGCCAGCAGCCGCGGUAAUACGGAGGAUCCGAGCGUUAUCCGUAUUUCUUGGGUUUAAAGGGAGCGUAGAUGGGUUGUUAAGUCAGUUGUGAAAGUUUGCGGCUGAACCGUAAAAUUGCAAUUGAUACUGGCAGCCUUGAGUACAGUUGAGGUAGGCGGAAUUCGUGGUGGAGCGGUGAAAUGCUUAGAUAUCACGAAGAACUCCGAUUGCGAAGGCAGCCUACUAAACUGCCACUGACAUGGAGGCUCGAAAGUGUGGGUAUCAAACAGGAUUAGAUACCCUUGUAGUC
rnacentral:rRNA from 1 species